ACGGCUCAGUAACACGUCGGUAACCUACCCUCGGGAGGGGGAUAACCCCGGGAAACUGGGGCUAAUUCCCCAUAGGCGUGAGGUACUGGAAGGUCCUCAGGCCGAAAGGGACUUAUGUCCGCCCGAGGAUGGGCCGGCGGCCGAUUAGGUAGUUGGUGGGGUAAUGGCCCACCAAGCCGAAGAUCGGUACGGGCUGUGAGAGCAGGAGCCCGGAGAUGGACACUGAGACACGGGUCCAGGCCCUACGGGGCGCAGCAGGCGCGAAACCUCCGCAAUGCGGGAAACCGCGACGGGGGGACCCCGAGUGCCGUGGCAACGCCACGGCUUUUCCGGAGUGUAAAAAGCUCCGGGAAUAAGGGCUGGGCAAGGCCGGUGGCAGCCGCCGCGGUAAUACCGGCGGCCCGAGUGGUGGCCGCUAUUAUUGGGCCUAAAGCGUCCGUAGCCGGGCCCGUAAGUCCCUGGCGAAAUCCCACGGCUCAACCGUGGGGCUUGCUGGGGAUACUGCGGGUCUUGGGACCGGGAGAGGCGGGGGGUACCCCUGGGGUAGGGGUGAAAUCCUAUAAUCCCAGGGGGACCGCCAGUGGCGAAGGCGCCCCGCUGGAACGGGUCCGACGGUGAGGGACGAAGGCCAGGGGAGCAAACCGGAUUAGAUACCCGGGUAGUCCUGGCUGUAAAGGAUGCGGGCUAGGUGUCGGGUGAGCCUCGAGCUCGCCCGGUGCCGUAGGGAAGCCGUUAAGCCCGCCGCCUGGGGAGUACGGCCGCAAGGCUGAAACUUAAAGGAAUUGGCGGGGGAG
rnacentral:rRNA from 1 species